rnacentral:tRNA from 1 species
CGGGAUGUGGCUCAGCUUGGUAGAGCGCCUGGUUCGGGACCAGGAGGUCGCUGGUUCAAAUCCAGUCAUCCCGA